GAGUCCAGAUGUGAGAGGCCGAUGGGCCCCCUUCCCCGCUUCCAACCCCUUGCUGGUCUUUCCCCUUUCCUGAGCAGGCGCAUUCACCUCCACCCUCUCCUACCGUCCCCUCCACGUGUCUCCUUCCGCACAUUCCUCUCCCAGGGAAGGGCAUGGAUUCGCAGAUUGCGCUCCCCCCAUUCUUCAGUCUCUUAGCCAAUUUCUGAGAUGAUCACACAGACCGAGCACCUUCAGACACCAGGCAAGACAAAACCUGCAGGAUCCUCCUGUUCCUGAAGGUCUGUAUAGAAACACAGUCACGAGGAGCCAGCUUCCGCUAUGCAGGCGAGGGCACCACCAAAACAUUACGUCAAAACAACACGAGGCCCCACCAGAACUGCUUCUCUCCUCCCAGACCCCUACCAGCUCAGACUUGCACAAAUACCUGCUGGAAAGUGAUUCUGGCAUGGAUUCUGGAGUUGGCUCAAGCCCUGACUCUGUCCCGUAUUGGCCACAUGAUCUUGUGAAAUCCAUUCCCCCAGCCUGGAAAUGUGGGCACUUUAUAGAAAAUCUUUAGCUUGUACCAGCACAAAUGGAUGGGUCUUAUUUCCUGUCUGCAGUUCAUGGUGUUGCAAAGGCAUUGCCAAAAACUAUUGACUGAGACAUAAAAGCAAAAAAUGGAUGGACAUGAACGUGGCCUCGUUCACAUGUACAUUUACAAACACACAGACACGAACAUGAUCAUGUCUACACUUACAGGAAGAGACUCCGCAAAGGGACCUUCUAAUUCAUAGCCUUACUUCCUGCCCCUGCCCGUGCCUAGUACCUGCCUUAGAUCUGGAGGAGAGGUAGAGAGGAGGUUAGACCAGGGGAUAGGAUCUGAGGGACUGGGAAAGAUCCCCAGUAGGUCUCCCUGAUCUCUGUGUCAUGAUGCUGGAAACAGCAUUCUUAAAGAUCCAUCCAUGAUGUCCUUUGAAAAAUAGAAGACUUCCCUGGUGGUCUGGUGGUUAAGAAUCUGCCUGCCAAUGCACGGGACACAGGUUCAAUUUCUGGUCCAGAAAGAUCACAGGGCAACUAA